AUAGCUGGUUUUAGCUGGUCUCCCAGCCUGGCCAGGCUGGUCAAGCUGGUCUCCCAGCCUGGCCAGGCUGGUCAAGCUGGUCUCCCAGCCUGGCCAAGCUGGUGUCUAUGGCUGCCUUUACACUUGGCAUUAACAUGUGAUCACCGUGAUCUGAUAAAGCAGAUCGGAUCAUCAGUCAAUCAGAACACAGCACGUUUACACUUGGCAACAUCAACAUCAACUGAUUUUUCUAUCUAGGUAACCGAUCGGAUUGGUCUUUCCUGCGCAAUAUUUAAAUAAGUCUGCAGAGAAUGGCCUGGUGCAAUGUCAACCUGAAAUAAUGGGUUUUCUUUUGAAAAUAGUAAAAAUGAAUUUAAAAAAUACAAAUAAAGUUACAUUUAUCUGAUCCGUCCACACAACAAGAACAUCAUUCAUCAUUAAUUUAUGUAAUAUUUCAUUUUCUUUCCAUAAACCUUUAACAAAAUGACCCUGUGACGGGGUGGUAAAUGUGACAGGGUGGUAACUGAUGUGACGGGGUGGUAUGGACAAAAUGUUUCUCUAUAUGAUCUGCUGGUUUUAAACUUUAAAAACUGGGGGAGGGGAGACAUUCAAAUUGAGUAAAAAGUGUGUGAGUGAUAUAGUGAGUGAGUGAAUUAAUGAACCAAACAGUGUUGCCAAGUCUGCGUUUUUCCCGCAAAAUUGGGCUAGGCUACUUUUACACUGUUGCCGCGGGUUGUUUUUCAUGUCCACGGGUUGAAGCGAGCCCAAAUAACAUGAUAUUUAGCCCUUGGAAUGCACAUUUUACCAAGGGAACCUUGCCAAUAAAAAAGUUUUACCCCCCAGAAUGUGAUUUUUAUCAGGGGACAUUCUGGGAUGAAAUUUACCACCCCGUCACAUACCACCCUGUCACGUUUUUGUGAUGGGGUGGUAUGUGACGGGGUGGUAAAUUUCAUCCCAAAAUGUCCGCAAAUCUCCCAUGUGGUCAAGUUUCUCACCUAGCAUACAUGCAUUCAAUCUGAAAUAUAAUUAUCUUUGUAUUAAUAAUGUAAAAAUAUAUAUUGUGCGUGACAGGGUGGUAAGUCAAACUGAGGGACGUGCACAAAUCACAAAUAUUUACAAAAAAAAUAAGGUUUAUUGUGAAUAAAUAUAUUUUGUUUAAACAGGGACACACAUAUAAUCCUGAAAAUAGCAUAUGUUUGAAAAAAAUAUAUAACUUAUUUGGUGAUAUUUUAGAUGCAAAUGUCAUGUUGGUUAACAUGGACAUGUGAAAUUGGCUAUGUAAUAAUGAAAAAUUAUUAAAAAUAGUAUGCUAAUCUUCAAAAAAACCAUUUGAUCAUAUAUUAUGUCAAAAAGAACACUUGAAUUAAUGACUUUAAGCUUUAGACUUUGGGACAUUUUUUAUGCCUUAUGCAUCUGACCAAAUGUUGCGGACCCAGAUGGCACCCGUUUCGUAGAAUGACCCAUAAUAUGUUAUUGUUCACCUUCAGUUAAUUGGUGAUAUAGUUUUUUUUUAGCAUUUUAAUCAUUCCUAUAAUUUUGUAAAUAUUUGUUAGAAUAGCUGAGUGCCUGCCAGAUUAAAUAAAAAAUUGUUAAAGUGGUUGUGCUUGUGGUCCUGCAGAUUAUUUAAAGUAAAAUUGGAAUGAUUUAAAUUGUCACAACACUCAAUGACAGGAAAAUUGGGUCAAACACUAUCCCAGCCGGCAAAUGACCGACCUUCAAUGUUGAAAUGUGGUUGAAAUAAGGUCAGUUGAUGUUUCAACGUUGAAACAACAUUGAUACAACGUUGAAUGCUAAACGGUUGAAGCCCAGUCAACACAUGACCGAAAUUCAACGUUGAAAUAUGGUUGAAGUAACGUCAGUUGAUGUUUCAACAGUGAAACAAUUAUUAAAUGUAAAAUGGUUGAAAUAGGUUAAGAAAAUCACUUAUAAAUAAAUGCUGAAAUAAGCUUGUAUACUAAAAAAAAACAAGUGUUUAACCAAAUUAUAUAAUAAUAAUAAUAAUAAUAAUAAUAAAGGCUAACAAUAAUGUAUAUGAAAUAAAAAUGUGCCCUAUUAGGCCUGUUUUGCCACUUCUGUGUCAGUUUGUUGGUACGUCAAUAUUUCAGAAAAUGGAAAUUAUAUGCUCAUUUUCAUUUUUUGUGGUCUGAAGAGAUAUCGCGAGAUUACACGAGACUAUAAGAUAUCAAACACCAGAGCCUGAAGCGGAUCUGAGUUACCAUGGAAACGGGGAAACGGCAGUCAGCAAGACCCCGUCUCGCUGUUGUUUUCACUGAUUUUAGGUAAGUUUAGUCCAUAAAAUCACACAAAUAAUAUAUAUAACUGUUCCUGAUACCUUUCUUACGUGUAAUCGACACACUUCUGUUGAAUAUUUACUUCAAAGAAAUGAUUUAGUGUCUUUGAAAAAGUCCGUUAGCAUCUCAACCGUUUUCAGAGGCAGUUGGCUAACUAACUAUAUUUUGAGCUCUUGUUUAAUGAAAGUUUGGCUUUUAAUCGCAUCUUUAUGUGUAGAUGAGAUGUUAUAAUAGUUUUGUAAAGGUUUUGCUGGCAAAUUGUUAAUGGAUGAUAGUAAACUAAUUUAUUUAACCUAAAAGUUGCUGUACCGUUAAUCGGUGACGUCACUUGCAUGAGCGCGAAAAUGAACUGAAACUAUUUCAAACAUGUUUUGAUCUCUAAUGGUAAACAGAUAUGAAUAAAUAAUGUCCUGCAAUUUCAGGGAUAUAUAUAUAUUUUAAUAUGUAUAUUAUUCUUUCCACCUCUGCUCUAGCUUGGUUCCUUGUAAUAAACCUGGCAUUUUAUACAAAAUAUUGUUGGCUCUGAGACAAAUUGCAUGUUGUGUUCCUAGAUCCUUCCAUGCGGAUGGACUCCUGCAUCCCAGCAGAGCUGAGUGACCUCCUGUCAAAGGCCAUGAACCAGAUGAACCUCAAUCAUUCAGCACACUACUGUUGAAAAGUUGUGGGUCUGUAAGAUUUUUACAUGUUUUUGAAAGAAGUCUCACAUUUUAAAAUCAUUAACCCCGGGUUGUUUUAGUGAGAUUGUCCUUGAAAGGCCUGUAGGCUAAAUAAUCAUCUAAAUGAGGUAACAUAGGUGACAAGUAUAAUGUUAUAAUGCUUGUAGUUAUAAUCAUUUAUUUAACUAUUAUAAUAACAGGAUAUCAUGGUCAUUAAUCUAUUUUAUUGUAUUUCUCUAUGUCUGUUUGUAGUUAUGUUUGCCAGUGAACAGACACCAUACUGUUCCACUAAAAGAUGAGAUGUAAUCAGGACAACGCCUUGAUGCCAUUCACACUCAGUACAUGAAGAAGUGAAUAUGAUUUCCUGUAGCAGCUAUGGGAGUGACGACAUAGACCCAACUAUGACGACUUCCGCUUCUGAGAAACCCAAAAAUACGAAUAGGUCUGUAGUAAAAAUUAAAUUCCUCAUUUUAAGGACUUUUCAGUGAACCAUUUCUUUCCUUUUUGUAGAUUCACCAAACAUCUGGCUGAUUACUGGCAAUUUGCAGUAAUGACAGUGGACAAGUGAAGAGAGAGGAGGGGAGGGCAUCAGAAAGGACCUUGAGCUGCUGCGACUGUCUUGGAUAACCCAAAGCACAACUACACUAUGUGUCCAAGUACUGAACAAGGCUUUUCUCCUUACAUAUUAUAUGUAUUUAAUUUAAGGCAGGGUUUUUUUUUCCUGCAUAGUGAAUUACUAGGUGGCUCCCUGUCAAAUUUGAUGCUGUCUCCAGCUAUUAACAAAACUCAGACAGGCAGUCACAUGGUCCGAUUCCCCUUUUCCACCAACACGGUUCUGUUGCAGGAUCCUGGCCUGUGUCCAUUCUCAAACUGUUCCACGCACCUCCACUGCACAAAAGGCAGUUCCAGGACAGAAAUAUCGGUACCCUCACUCUUCACCAGUCAUCACAUUCACAACCACCACAGUCAACGAAGUCAAGGUCCCUGGUCCACAGCAUCAACCAUCUUUGUAGGAAGAUGAUUACUACAUUUCUUGAUGUAUCUUCAAAAUUGACAGAUUUCUUAUGGAGUGCAAUCCCUCUCUAGAUGAACUGAUGCCUAUCGGUCUUACAAAAUACUGUCAGACACUGCAUAUGAUGUUCUCAAAAUAAUAAAUUAAUUAAUAAAAUACUUAAGAAUU